GAAAGAUUUUCCAAAAUGUGGCGUUCCAUCUGUAGAUGUUUACCUUUCUUUCGAAAGAAACACUGCGUUGGAACAUCCAAUGAAAUCGUUUUGAAUUAUAUUGAGAUCGUCGACAUUCUUGCUUUGG